rnacentral:pre_miRNA from 1 species
GGAGAGAGAUUGCUUUGGAAUGACACGAUCACUCCCGCUGAGCGAGACGCCCGACAGCCAUCGGGAAUAUCGUGUCGGUCCAAAGCUCUUUCG